rnacentral:lncRNA from 1 species
AGACAAAUAAGUCCCAAACCCUAGCUUGCUCAAAAGUCAAAACACACACUCUCAAACACUCGCCUCUCUCUGCUCUCAAACACUCGCCUCUCCGCUCUCAAUCGCUCAAUCGCUCACUCCUCUCUUCUCUUAACGGUAAGCCCACUCCUCUCUUCUCUCCCAAUCGCUCUCUUCUCUUCUCUCUCAAUCACUCAGUCGUCUCAAUCGCUCACUCCUCUUUAUGGUUUCUUCAUCUCCUUUCUCUUCUCUCUUCGGUUUUGUAUAUUGAUUUAGGGCACUCUCUCCAGUCUCCGGCCACUCAUGAACGCCCCUUUUGCCAGACGUUAUCCAAGACGGCGGAGUUCGGGGUCUAGAAUGUCGAUGAUUUGAUGAACUCGGCUGCCCACUACAAUUUGGAUUUGAUUUGGUGAUUUCAGGGCCUUCUCAAUCCUUCUCCCUUUCAUUUUCUCUCGAGCUCUAUAUUCUCUCCUCUUUUCUGAUGCGAUUAGGUGGCUGAUGAUUUCUUGUUUCAUGGUGGAAGGCCAAGCUAGUCCAGGCGGCAGCGNNNNNNNNNNNNNNNNNNNNGAGGCCGGCGGCGUUGGAUCCGUGACGGAAAGAGCUUUCUGGGGAUAUAAAAUUCCGGCGGAGGGCAGUCAGAAUUUUGGUCGGAAAUCGGGAAAAACAAGGCUGCCCGAUUUUAGGGUUUUGGUUUUUAGGGUUUGGAAAAAAAAUGGUGGACUAUUGGCUCUAGGGUUAGAACAAAGUGCCUGAUAACGUGAUGAAGGAUUAAUGGUAGAGACAAAGAGAUAGAAAGAGAAUCAUCUUAUUCAUUGAUAGGAGCCCUUUAUAUAGGGAAUUACACAAUACCAAUAUGGUAAGGAUAUGAAUACAUAGAUCUAGUCUAACUACAUAUCCUAUUGGCAUAAGGCCAAGGCACACAUAGAGAAUAUCCUAGAACAUUCACAAUAUUGUUGGCUUCCAGAGACCAAAAAGUAAUGCAAAGGCAUGAUGUAAACCACUUACUUCAUUUUCAGCUGCUUUCAGGUUAUGAGCUGAGUCAUACGCCUGUGAGUACUUUUAAUAAAAUAGAGGUGUUCACCCUUGUCCUUCAAUUUCUUCGCAUUGUAGAUGAAAGGCCUCACCCCGGUGUGGUGGUGCAAUGUCUUCUUGUCCCGGUUACUCUUGUUUGCAGCCGAUCUUCUCUGUAAUUUCAUCAUAUUAACACUUUGGUUAUUAACAUCAAGCUUAAUCAUCAAAAACCACAAACAGAAAACUGACUAAAUGAACAGUAGUAAUGCAAAACCCAGAUAUAUACUUGUACCCAGAGAAACUGUUGUAGUAAUGCAAGUAAUAUAUAUACUUGUACAUGGAGAAACUGCUGUAGUUGUCACGCCCCAAUUUUUUUGAAAGAUAAAUUUCAAAUAUUUUGGCAUGAUAUAUCCUAAAAUAUUAAUAUCCCAAAACCUGUUUCAACAAAAAUCAAGGAAAAUAAACUCAAUGCGAAAUGUAAAUUUACACACAACUCCAAAUUGAGUUAAAUAUUACAUUUUCUUGUUUACAUAACUUGAGAACAAGAAAGGAAACGCUCACAUGAGUUUAAUAAUUCCUAUCCCCGUGUAUAUAAACGAAUAUACAAAGACACACCCAAAACCCAACAAAAAACCCUGCCACUACGCCUCCAUCUCAACCCUGCUGAUCCUCACCUGCAGGUCUAACCCCUACACCAAGAAAUGGUGCACCGGGUUGUAAACAACACACCCGGUAAGCUAAAAAGCUCGUAUGAGUAAACUAAAAAAAACAACACAACAUUUAUCACAUCCAAUAUUCACAAGAGAGAUUGGAUCAAUAAUUUCAAACCACACAUCAAACACAUUACCCAAGAGAUGUACCCAUGAGUCCUAGAUAUUUAAUAAAAUACCUCUCAUGAUCUACCACAACACUAUGUGUACCCAUGGGUCCCAGAUACCAUACAGUAUCUCCCAUGACCUACACUGACAGACGGACUAGAGCUCUAUUCCUAACCGUAACCAAUCACCCGGCCAAAGGCUUGGAACCCGGUUUGACUGUCUAAUAUCAAUACAAAAAUGAUAAAUAGCAUCUUAACCGCAACCAAUCACCCAAAAAGGGCUUGGAACCCGGUUUGGCUAUUUAUCCAACAAGCACAAUAAUUUUCACAACAUUAUCCACAACAACACAAGAUCACAAUUAUUAUUCUCAACAACAUAAUAUAUAAAUCACAUCAUUAUUCUCAACAUCACAAUAUAAAGAAAACUUGUUUUUAUCUUACCUAUGAGCCGUUUGCGAUCAAGCUCAUGAAAUUUUAAAAACAAUUAAAAGCAUGAUAUUAAAACCAACAUCACCAUCAUUAUCAUUAUAU